CUGUCCUGCAUGAAGGUGUCUUGGAGCAGAGAUGCUCAGAAAAAAUGAGGCUCAUGGUGUUCCAUGGUUCCCUUCUGGUGGCUGCAGAGCUGAGGAUGUCCCUCAGAGCUGGCACAGACAUCUCAGGUUUGCUCAGUGGAGAAGGGAUGUGCUGAGCUCUCCCCUUGCCUUGGCUCAACAGAGCCGACACGAUGGGAGAAAAGGCAGGUUCUGCUCAAUGAAGAUAUCUCUGUUUCACCACUGCUUCUUCCUCCGGAAGAAAAAUGAUUCCUCCAGGUCCUGACAUCUGCUGCUAUUUAAAGGAUCAUCAUCAUCACCACUCCAGCCCUCCUGGGGCCUCAAGGCACUCAGCAAAUAACCUUUCAAUUGCCAGGGCAAUAAAAGAUGUCAGGGGUGAUUAAAGACGUGGCAGCUGCUGCUCUGUAUCUCCAUGCAGUCAAGUCCUUCAGAUUUUCCUCGCUCCCACUGGGACAGAGUUUUCCAGUAUUCAGUACCAGUCUCCAGCACACCCUGAGCAAGCUGAGGGUGUUGAGCACCCAGCUGGAUUCAGUCCAGGUUCAGCACAUCUCUCUGAGCUCCCUGUUCCCGUCCAUCUGCUCAUGUCCAUCCCUGCAGUGCUGGGUGUCCUGUCCCUGGGCUCAGCUGGGAGCGUGUGGUCCUUUGCACAGUGCCUGGAGUAUUGCUUACAUAUGGUAGCUGGAGUCAGGCACUGCAGGGAGCAACUUGGAGGUUCCCCGAGCAAUCUGAAGGGAUCUGAGGGAAUCCAGCCCCUGGGAUGGGGUGAACCCAGAUGCUGCAGCUGCUUCAAGCUUUUUGCAGAUAUACUUUUGACAGAAGCUGAAAAAACCUCCCUGGGCUGGAGGGAGGAACUGGACCUGCACCUCUUGCAUCUCAACUGAGGGCCUUGACAACUGAGUAUGGUGCAGACAGUAACAAAAUCAAUG